AGCGAACGCUGGCGGCAGGCUUAACACAUGCAAGUCGAGCGGACCUUUCGGGGUCAGCGGCGGACGGGUGAGUAACGCGUGGGAACGUGCCUUCCGGUUCGGAAUAACCCUGGGAAACUAGGGCUAAUACCGGAUACGCCCUUAUGGGGAAAGGUUUACUGCCGGAAGAUCGGCCCGCGUCUGAUUAGCUGGUUGGUGGGGUAACGGCCUACCAAGGCGACGAUCAGUAGCUGGUCUGAGAGGAUGAUCAGCCACACUGGGACCGAGACACGGCCCAGACUCCUACGGGAGGCAGCAGUGGGGAAUAUUGGACAAUGGGCGCAAGCCUGAUCCAGCCAUGCCGCGUGAGUGAUGAAGGCCUUAGGGUUGUAAAGCUCUUUUAUCCGGGACGAUAAUGACGGUACCGGAGGAAUAAGCCCCGGCUAACUUCGUGCCAGCAGCCGCAGUAA
rnacentral:rRNA from 1 species